rfam:Alternaria alternata strain SRC1lrK2f unplaced genomic scaffold CC77scaffold_36, whole genome shotgun sequence.
GGCCUAAUGGCCCAAUGGCAAGGCGCUUGACUACGACUCAGUUCGAUAUCAAGAGAUUCCAGGUUCGACCCCUGGUUAGGUCA